rnacentral:rRNA from 1 species
UAGGGCUUCACACGUCAUACAAUGGUCGGUACAGAGGGUUGCCAACCCGCGAGGGGGAGCUAAUCCCACAAAGCCGAAUCGUAGUCCGGAUCGUCAGUCUGCAACUCGACUGCGUGAAGUCGGAAUCGCUAGUAAUCGUGGAUCAGCAUGUCACGGUGAAUACGUUCCCGGGUCUU